UUAAAGGCUGACACACCACCACGAUUAUCGGUCGUCGGACAGUCUGGCGAGGUCGGUGACUCGAGUCGGUUCGGUGUGCUCCGUGCCAUCGUCAGUCGGAGGAGCCGACGGUCUUCAUUUGGGCUGAUUCGACAUGUUGAAUCGGUGGGUGGGCACUGCUGCCAGUCAGACACAAUGA